AGACAGCGUAUUCUUACAAAAUUGAGAAUGGUCAGCAAUUGUCCCUCCUGUUUUAACUCAAGGACUGGUAGGUGACUGUAUCUCAUGUGAAAGUCAGUGAGCUGAUGUGCUGGACUUUGCCAGGACACAGAGAAAGGGACUGGGAACAGAUGACAAAGAGGACAGAAUCUGUCAGAACUGGAGAGAAGACCACAGAAUCUUCACCACUAAAUAGAAAAGAAAUUGAAUCAGAAGAGAGCAUCAUUCCAUGAGUAAUCACAAGGCCCAGAUGGG